GACGCGGUGACCUAAUGGUUAGUGCGUUGGACUCCGGAUUGAGUGGUCCGGUUCGAGCCCUGGCCUGGGUCA
rnacentral:tRNA from 1 species